CGUGCCUAAUACAUGCAAGUAGAACGCUGAAGAGAGGAGCUUGCUCUUCUUGGAUGAGUUGCGAACGGGUGAGUAACGCGUAGGUAACCUGCCUUGUAGCGGGGGAUAACUAUUGGAAACGAUAGCUAAUACCGCAUAACAAUGGAUGACACAUGUCAUUUAUUUGAAAGGGGCAAUUGCUCCACUACAAGAUGGACCUGCGUUGUAUUAGCUAGUAGGUGAGGUAACGGCUCACCUAGGCGACGAUACAUAGCCGACCUGAGAGGGUGAUCGGCCACACUGGUACUGAGACACGGCCCAGACUCCUACGGGAGGCAGCAGUAGGGAAUCUUCGGCAAUGGGGGCAACCCUGACCGAGCAACGCCGCGUGAGUGAAGAAGGUUUUCGGAUCGUAAAGCUCUGUUGUAAGUCAAGAACGAGUGUGAGAGUGGAAAGUUCACACUGUGACGGUAGCUUACCAGAAAGGGACGGCUAACUACGUGCCAGCAGCCGCGGUAAUACGUAGGUCCCGAGCGUUGUCCGGAUUUAUUGGGCGUAAAGCGAGCGCAGGCGGUUUGAUAAGUCUGAAGUUAAAGGCUGUGGCUCAACCAUAGUUCGCUUUGGAAACUGUCAAACUUGAGUGCAGAAGGGGAGAGUGGAAUUCCAUGUGUAGCGGUGAAAUGCGUAGAUAUAUGGAGGAACACCGGUGGCGAAAGCGGCUCUCUGGUCUGUAACUGACGCUGAGGCUCGAAAGCGUGGGGAGCGAACAGGAUUAGAUAUCCUGGUAGUCCACGCCGUAAACGAUGAGUGCUAGGUGUUGGAUCCUUUCCGGGAUUCAGUGCCGCAGCUAACGCAUUAAGCACUCCGC
rnacentral:rRNA from 1 species